UGCCAGGGACGGAAUGCCGGCAGCAGAGCAGCCUGGGGCCAUCCGUAUAAUCCGUGAUACCAGUGAAGUGAGGACGGUGCGGCAAGGCCAGGCCAGGCGAAGGAGUCUCGGAGGGGUGUUGGCGUACAUUCCAUGCGGAUCCUGGUUGAAACUUUGUCGCGGUGGAAUGCCAGGGACGGAAUGCCGGCAGCAGAGCAGCCUGGGGCCAUCCGUAUAAUCCGUGAUACCAGUGAAGUGAGGACGGUGCGGCAAGGCCAGGCCAGGCGAAGGAGUCUCGGAGGGGUGUUGGCGUACAUUCCAUGCGGAUCCUGGUUGAAACUUUGUCGCGCCAGGUGGAAUGCCAGGGACGGAAUGCCGACAGUAGAGCAGCCUGGGGCCAUCCGUAUAAUCCGUGAUACGAGUGAAAUGAGGACGGUGCGGCAAGGUCAGGCCAGGUGAAGUAGUCUC